AAGCAUCGCCUAGUCUAGUCGCAGUCGCAGGCUUGCAGCCUGCUCCAUGGUCUAUAUAUACACACCUUCCAGGACCGUGGUCUUCGUACUCUCACCAUUGGUAGCAAAACCAGCGAGGUCGUCUGAUCGAAACAGAAGCCAGCGACCGAUCGAGCGACCAGCAUGGAUGAUCGUAGGUACGGCUACCCGUAUCCACCACACCAAGGGUACUACAAUGGCCCGCCGGUGAUGGCGCCGCCGCAGUACGCCGCUCCGCCGCCGAGGAGGGAGCCGAGCUUCCUUGAAGGAUGCCUUGCAGCUCUGUGCUGCUGCUGCCUCAUCGACGAGUGCUGCUGCGACCCGUCGGUCAUAUUUGUGACCUAAUUAAUGGCCGUAACCAUGGUGUUGAUGAGGACGAUGAGUCCGAAUUGAGAUAUUGAUAACUCCAUACACGUGUGUAAUUGUCUUUUGUUGAUCAGGUGUUCAGGGAUCAGAUGUAUGAUCCAUCUGCAGUACAAAUGAUUUAACUGCAGUGGUAUAAAUAUUUUUAUUACAUGCACUGGUUGCUGGACUAACUCAGGACAUAUACUUUAUAUAUAUA